rnacentral:rRNA from 1 species
AUUGAACGCUGGCGGCAGGCCUAACACAUGCAAGUCGAACGAGGGGCGGACGGGUGAGUAAUGUCUGGGAAACUGCCUGAUGGGGGGGGAUAACUACUGAAAACGGUAGCUAAUACCGCAUACCAUCAGAAGUGCCUCGAUGGGAAUAGCGAGGUGGUGGGGUAACGGCGCACCCAGGCGACGAGCCCUAGCUGGUGUGAGAGGAUGACCAGCCAAACUGGAACUGAGACACGACCCAGACUCCUACGGGAGGCAGCAGUGGGGAAUAUUGCACAAUGGGCGCAAGCCUGAUGCAGCCAUGCCGCGUGUAUGAAGAAGGCCUUAGGGUUGUAAAGUACUUUCAGCGGGGAGGCGUUACCCGCAGAAGAAGCACCGGCUAACUCCGUGCCAGCAGCCGCGGUAAUUC